rnacentral:rRNA from 1 species
GAUGAACGCUGGCGGCGUGCCUAAUACAUGCAAGUCGAGCGAACGGACGAGAAGCUUGCUUCUCUGAUGUUAGCGGCGGACGGGUGAGUAACACGUGGAUAACCUACCUAUAAGACUGGGAUAACUUCGGGAAACCGUAGCUAAUACCGGAUAAUAUUUUGAACCGCAUGGUUCAAACGUGAAAGACGGUCUUGCUGUCACUUAUAGAUGGAUCCGCGCUGCAUUAGCUAGUUGGUAAGGUAACGGCUUACCAAGGCAACGAUGCAUAGCCGACCUGAGAGGGUGAUCGGCCACACUGGAAAUGAGACACGGUCCUGACUCCUACGGGAGGCAGCAGUAGGGAAUCUUCCGCAAUGGGCGAAAGCCUGACGGAGCAACGCCGCGUGAGUGAUGAAGGUCUUCGGAUCGUAAAACUCUGUUAUUAGGGAAGAACAUAUGUGUAAGUAACUGUGCACAUCUUGACGGUACCUAAUCAGAAAGCCACGGCUAACUACGUG